rnacentral:tRNA from 1 species
ACUUUCAAAGGACAGAAGUAAUCCUGUGGCUUUAGGAGCCAUUUCCCCU